rnacentral:misc_RNA from 1 species
GUAGGUGAACCUGCGGAAGGAUCAUCAACAAAUCUAAUGCCGCUCAGCGGCGUAUACCAAUGUGAAUAGCAGGCCUUCGGGACUGUGUCGUUUUUGUUCUUUGAACAAAAAUAUUAACGAGCAAACCGAGUCGGAUAAAAAAAACAUAAUAGAAACAACUUUUAACAAUGGAUCUCUUGGCUCUU